AUGAACGCUGGCGGCGUGCCUAAUACCUGCAAGUCGAGCGAACGGACGAGAAGCUUGCUUCUCUGAUGUUAGCGGCGGACGGGUGAGUAACACGUGGAUAACCUACCUAUAAGACUGGGAUAACUUCGGGAAACCGGAGCUAAUACCGGAUAAUAUUUUGAACCGCAUGGUUCAAAAGUGAAAGACGGUCUUGCUGUCACUUAUAGAUGGAUCCGCGCUGCAUUAGCUAGUUGGUAAGGUAACGGCUUACCAAGGCAACGAUGCAUAGCCGACCUGAGAGGGUGAUCGGCCACACUGGAACUGAGACACGGUCCAGACUCCUACGGGAGGCAGCAGUAGGGAAUCUUCCGCAAUGGGCGAAAGCCUGACGGAGCAACGCCGCGUGAGUGAUGAAGGUCUUCGGAUCGUAAAACUCUGUUAUUAGGGAAGAACAUAUGUGUAAGUAACUGUGCACAUCUUGACGUUACCUAAUCAGAAAGCCACGGCUAACUACGUG
rnacentral:rRNA from 1 species